rnacentral:tRNA from 1 species
GUUUUUAUAGUUUAAAAAAAACAAUGAUCUUGUAAAUCAAAAUUAGAAUUUAAUUCUUUAAAACU